UAUAGCUCCACGCGGUACCGUCAUAUUGGCGAUUAUUUUACCUAAAUACAUUCCAAAUUUUCCUCCUAAAAAUCUUUACAGGAGUUCCAAGAACUCAUCAUCUACUAUAAUCCUUGGAGUCAAUUCCCGGUUUUUCUUUAAACCCUGUAGCAAAUUACCUGAAUUUUGUUAAUCAGUUUGCACCGCCGGUGAGAUUCUGACGCCGAUUGAGAUUUCCGACUGAUUUCCGGCUGCUGUUGUUAUUUUGAGGGGGAGUAAAGAUGGGGAAUUCGAAGGUGGAUAGAGCGACGAGCGACAUGCUGAUCGGUCCCGAUUGGGCUAUGAACGUCGAGAUCUGUGACAUUUGCAAUCGCGAUCCCGUACAAGCAAAAGACAUAGUAAAAGGCAUAAAGAGGCGUCUUGGCAGCAAAAAUCCUAAAGUCCAACUUCUUUCCUUAACACUGUUGGAGACAAUUGUGAAGAAUUGUGGGGAAGUUGUCCAUGCGUAUG